rnacentral:rRNA from 1 species
UACAGAGGUCCCAAGCGUUGUUCGGAUUCACUGGGCGUAAAGGGUGCGUAGGCGGUCGGGUAAGUCUGACGUGAAAUCUCCAAGCUCAACUUGGAAAUGGCGUCGGAUACUAUUCGGCUUGAGGAAUGGAGGGGAGACUGGAAUUCUCGGUGUAGCAGUGAAAUGCGUAGAUAUCGAGAGAAACACCAGUGGCGAAGGCGGGUCUCUGGACAGUUCCUGACGCUGAGGCACGAAGGCCAGGGGAGCAAACGGG